rnacentral:rRNA from 1 species
GACGAACGCUGGCGGCGUGCUUAACACAUGCAAGUCGAACGGAAAGGCCCUGCUUUUGUGGGGUGCUCGAGUGGCGAACGGGUGAGUAACACGUGAGUAACCUGCCCUUGACUUUGGGAUAACUUCAGGAAACUGGGGCUAAUACCGGAUAGGAGCUCCUGCUGCAUGGUGGGGGUUGGAAAGUUUCGGCGGUUGGGGAUGGACUCGCGGCCUACCAGCUUGUUGGUGGGGUAGUGGCUUACCAAGGCUUUGACGGGUAGCCGGCCUGAGAGGGUGACCGGCCACAUUGGGACUGAGAUACGGCCCAGACUCCUACGGGAGGCAGCAGUGGGGAAUAUUGCACAAUGGGCGGAAGCCUGAUGCAGCAACGCCGCGUGCGGGAUGACGGCCUUCGGGUUGUAAACCGCUUUCGCCUGUGACGAAGCGUGAGUGACGGUAAUGGGUAAAGAAGCACCGGCUAACUACGUGCCAGCAGCCGCGGUGAUACGUAGGGUGCGAGCGUUGUCCGGAUUUAUUGGGCGUAAAGGGCUCGUAGGUGGUUGAUCGCGUCGGAAGUGUAAUCUUGGGGCUUAACCCUGAGCGUGCUUUCGAUACGGGUUGACUUGAGGAAGGUAGGGGAGAAUGGAAUUCCUGGUGGAGCGGUGGAAUGCGCAGAUAUCAGGAGGAACACCAGUGGCGAAGGCGGUUCUCUGGGCCUUUCCUGACGCUGAGGAGCGAAAGCGUGGGGAGCGAACAGGCUUAGAUACCCUGGUAGUCCACGCUGUAAACGGUGGGUACUAGGUGUGGGGUCCAUUCCACGGGUUCCGUGCCGUAGCUAACGCUUUAAGUACCCCGCCUGGGGAGUACGGCCGCAAGGCUAAAACUCAAAGGAAUUGACGGGGCCCCGCACAAGCGGCGGAGCAUGCGGAUUAAUUCGAUGCAACGCGUAGAACCUUACCUGGGUUUGACAUGGAUCGGGAGUGCUCAGAGAUGGGUGUGCCUCUUUUGGGGUCGGUUCACAGGUGGUGCAUGGCUGUCGUCAGCUCGUGUCGUGAGAUGUUGGGUUAAGUCCCGCAACGAGCGCAACCCUUGUUCACUGUUGCCAGCACGUUAUGGUGGGGACUCAGUGGAGACCGCCGGGGUCAACUCGGAGGAAGGUGGGGAUGACGUCAAGUCAUCAUGCCCCUUAUGUCCAGGGCUUCACGCAUGCUACAAUGGCUGGUACAGAGAGUGGCGAGCCUGUGAGGGUGAGCGAAUCUCGGAAAGCCGGUCUCAGUUCGGAUUGGGGUCUGCAACUCGACCUCAUGAAGUCGGAGUCGCUAGUAAUCGCAGAUCAGCAACGCUGUGGUGAAUACGUUCCCGGGGCU